AUUGAACGCUGGCGGCAGGCUUAACACAUGCAAGUCGAGCGGAGCGAGGGUGCUUGCACCUUAGCUUAGCGGCGGACGGGUGAGUAAUGCUUAGGAAUCUGCCUAUUAGUGGGGGACAACAUUCCGAAAGGGAUGCUAAUACCGCAUACGCCCUACGGGGGAAAGCAGGGGAUCACUUGUGACCUUGCGCUAAUAGAUGAGCCUAAGUCGGAUUAGCUAGUUGGUGGGGUAAAGGCCUACCAAGGCGACGAUCUGUAGCGGGUCUGAGAGGAUGAUCCGCCACACUGGGACUGAGACACGGCCCAGACUCCUACGGGAGGCAGCAGUGGGGAAUAUUGGACAAUGGGGGGAACCCUGAUCCAGCCAUGCCGCGUGUGUGAAGAAGGCCCUUUUGGUUGUAAAGCACUUUAAAGCGAGGAG
rnacentral:rRNA from 1 species